rnacentral:rRNA from 1 species
UACGAAGGGGGCUAGCGUUGUUCGGAAUCACUGGGCGUAAAGCGCACGUAGGCGGAUCUUUAAGUCAGGGGUGAAAUCCCGAGCUCAACUCCAGAACUGCCUUUGAUACUGGAGAUCUAGUCGGGAGAGGUGAGUGGAACUGCGAGUGUAGAGGUGAAAUUCGUAGAUAUUCGCAAGAACACCAGUGGCGAAGGCGGCUCACUGGCCCGAUACUGACGCUGAGGCACGAAAGCGUGGGGAGCAAACAGGG